AUUUCAAGUGCUAUCAGAUGGCACUUGUCACUUCUACCUAAAAAAAGUCUCAAAUUCUCUCUACUGAGUUCACCAUUUUGAAUAGGAAUAGCAGGUGGUAUACAAAACGGGUACUGGUCCUGUGGGGGAAGUGACAAAACCUUGGAGAAUUCCAGAGGUUUAAUGGCAGUGGGGGAGGGGGUGCUUCCCAAAGAGAAAAGCACUGUCAGGGGAUUGGACUCCAGUCCUCUGAGUGGAGCACGUCUGUGGCAGGAUCUGGAGCUUCUUGAAGGCAGCAGAGGAAGAUGCAUGGGGCCAGUGACGGGACAAGAGGCUGUGCAAGGUUCUUACCAUGGAAAAUCAAAAUGACUGGCUCCUUCAAAUAAAUCUUACCUGCAGCCUUGCCAAGUCUUCAUCUUGGAAACAAUGAGCCUGCUUUAUAUACUCAACACUAGAUAGACUUUUAUAUAACUAUGCUGAUUGUGAAGCUGAUGUUGCAGCAUACGGUAAAGCUUAGUAGAUAACGUUGGAUAAGGAAAGGAGAGUAAUCUGUAAAUGUGAAGAAAAAAGACUGGAAGGAAGUACACCAAAACAUUAAUAAGUAUUGCACAAAUGCUGGAGGGAAGAGCUGCCUUUUACCUUUUAUCUGUACUUUAUAAAUUACUUCAAGAUAAAUAAAUCAUGAAUUUUAUUAACUUGCAUUGAAAACCAUUUACAACCUAGUCUCAAACUCUAUUCAGUAUAUUUUUUAAGCCUUUCCCCAGAUCGGCUCCACUAUCAAACUACCAUUGUUAAUUCCCAGGUCUCACAGGUUCUUUCUAUUUUUAUGCCUUUGUUCAUGAUGUUCCCUCAACCUCUAACGCUCUUCCCUCUCAUCUCAGCCUGACAAAAGACUGCUCAUCUUUCAACACCUAGUUCUAAGACCUUGC
rnacentral:lncRNA from 10 species